GUGUCAGCCGCCGCGGUAAUACGUAGGGGGCAAGCGUUGUCCGGAUUUAUUGGGCGUAAAGAGCGUGUAGGCGGCCAUGCAGGUCCGUUGUGAAAACUCGAGGCUUAACCUCGAGACGCCGGUGGAAACCGUGUGGCUAGAGUCCGGAAGAGGAGAGUGGAAUUCCUGGUGUAGCGGUGAAAUGCGCAGAUAUCAGGAAGAACACCCGUGGCGAAGGCGGCUCUCUGGGACGUGACUGACGCUGAGACGCGAAAGCGUGGGGAGCAAACAGGAUUAGAAACCCUAGUAGUCC
rnacentral:rRNA from 1 species